GAGAACUCCAAGAAAGACUCAAAACCUGAGGAUACAGGAGGUAGCAGUAUAAAGAGACGCAUUAGUCUGCUUUUGGACUCUUCUUCAUCCCCCUUCUCAGUGGCACGUGUGGAUACUCCAGGGACUGAGCCUCACUCACCGGGGCUGUCUGUCUCUGAUACUGAUGGAGCGGUGUGGGUGAAACAGCGAAUCAAAGAACUGACCGAAGAAGUGCCUACUACGCUGUCACCACCCCAGAAGCCACAAUGUAAGCCACGUACCCUAGUAUCUGACCGCACUAAAAGAUUUGAAGCAGCGCUUGAAAGCCAUAGUUCCUAUGAGCUCAAAGGCCCCCAGCAGGUGAAGAAGAUCAAAACAAAAAGUUCGAUUACUCCACGAUUGAAGGGGAGUUCACCAAACAAGAGGACAGGAAAGCAUCAUCACUAGGUGUUCAAGACUUAUCUACCAACUCUGGUUUUGAUAGUGACAGAGUGCAAACAGUACGAGCGUCUAUGUUCGAGCAUGUGGUGGAAAGGCAUAAUGUUCAAGUAAUGGAGGAUAACAUUUCACAAGACCCAAGAGCACAACAGGAAAGCACAAUUAAACCCAUGCCCAGGCGAAACCACUCUUUGCGUAUUCAAGAUAACACCCUUAAAGCUCUUGAAGAUGAUGAACCUGGUAGUUUGGUCAAAGCAACCUAUAGAGAACAAGUUUCUCCUUCCAGCCCUGUACGUGUGGAGCAUGUCUUUGACACUGUGGCUUUG